AUGUUCACGACCAGCAUCAGCGACGGGGACCUUGACUACAUGCUCGCUUGCAGCCCGGCUCUGGAGAAGCUCGCGUUCGUACUCAGCUGUACACCCGAUCUCAUCCACCUACGGAGCAGAAGCCUCCGGUGCGUGCUCCUCUGGAUUUUCUUGGCGGACGAGGUUGCCGUGGUGGAUGCCCCGCUCCUGGAGCGGCUCUUCUUGCUGGAAGCGCCCCGUGGAGAAGGUGCUGAGAGUACUAUGAUGAUCAAGAUUGCUCAUGCGCCCAAGCUGCAGGUGCUCGGCUUCUUGGAGCCAGGAUUUCACCGGCUGCAGAUCGGCGACAAUGUCAUUGAGCCUGGCACAAAGCCGAGCCCAAGCACAGUGCUUCCAAGCGUCAAGAUAUUGGCAUUUAAAGUUAAUUUUGGUGUCAUAGAGGAUGUCAAGAUGCUGGUGGCCUACCUCAGAUGCUUUCCCAACAUUGAGACGCUGCACAUCGAGUCUUUAACUGAACCCACUGGAAGGAACCAUGCCAAGUUCUGGCAGGAGCUCCCUACUAUUGAAUGCAUCAAGUCCCACGUCAAGAAGAUGGUUAUCCAUGAAUACAGAGGGAACAAAGUUGAACUUGAAUUCCUCAAGUUCAUCUCCACGAGAGCGCAAGAGCUCCAAGCUUUGUAUGUUCUGCUAAACAGAGAGAGUCUUACUUCGGUGGCCAAGGCGGAAAAGAUGACAAGCAAAUUGGUGGCUCUCUCGGGUGUUCCAUGGGGCUGUGAUUGUAAGAUGAUGGUGCUAGGCCCUAAAUAUCAGAAUGAAUGGAGCAUCCAGAAAGCAUCUGAUCUUACCGUCGACGACCCUUUUUUCCAUUGGUGA
rnacentral:rRNA from 1 species